CCAGCAGCUGCGGUAAUUCCGGCUCCAAUAGCGUAUAUUAAAGUUGUUGCGGUUAAAAAGCUCGUAGUUGGAUUUCUGCCGAGGACGACCGGUCCGCCCACUGGGUGUGCAUCUGGCUCGGCCUGGGCAUCUUCUUGGAGAACGUAUCUGCACUUCACUGUGUGGUGCGGUAUCCAGGACUUUUACUUUGAGGAAAUUAGAGUGUUUCAAGCAGGCACACGCCUUGAAUACGUUAGCAUGGAAUAAUAAUAUAGGACUUCGGUUCUAUUUUAUUGGUUCUGGACCGAAGUAAUGAUUAAUAGGGACAGUCGGGGGCAUUCGUACUCAACAGUCAGAGGUGAAAUUCUUGGAUUUGUUGGAGACGAACUACUGCGAAAGCAUUUGCCAAGGAUGUUUUCAUUGAUCAAGAACGAAAGU
rnacentral:rRNA from 1 species